CUACGGGACGCUGCAGUGAGGAAUUUUGCGCAAUGGGGGAAACCCUGACGCAGCAACGCCGCGUGAGCGAAGAAGGCCUUCGGGUCGUAAAGCUCUGUCAAGUGGGAAAAAAAGCUUUAGAUUAACAGUCUAAAGAAUUGAUGGUACCACUGGAGGAAGCACCGGCUAACUCCGUGCCAGCAGCCGCGGUAAUACGGAGGGUGCAAGCGUUGUUCGGAAUUACUGGGCGUAAAGCGCGUGCAGGCGGUUUGGCAAGUCAGAUGUGAAAGCCCUGGGCUCAACCCGGGAAGUGCAUUUGAAACUGCCUUUCUUGAGUAUGGGAGAGGAGAGUGGAAUUCCCAGUGUAGAGGUGAAAUUCGUAGAUAUUGGGAGGAACACCCGUGGCGAAGGCGACUCUCUGGACCAAUACUGACGCUGAGACGCGAAAGCGUGGGGAGCAAACAGGAUUAGAUACCCCAGUAGUC
rnacentral:rRNA from 1 species